rnacentral:rRNA from 1 species
AGUGAACGCUGGCGGUAGGCCUAACACAUGCAAGUCGAACGGCAGCACAGUAAGAGCUUGCUCUUACGGGUGGCGAGUGGCGGACGGGUGAGGAAUACAUCGGAAUCUACUUUUUCGUGGGGGAUAACGUAGGGAUACUUACGCUAAUACCGCAUACUACCUACAGGUGAAAGUAGGAGAUCUUUGGCACUUGCGCGAUUGUAUGAGCCGAUGUCGGAUUAGAUAGUUGGCGGGGUAAAGGCCCACCAAGGCGACGAUCCGUAGCUGGUCUGAGAGGAGGAUCAGCCACACUGGAACUGAAACACGGUCCAGACUCCUACGGGACGCAGCAGAGCGGAAUAUUGGACAAUGGGCGCAAGCCUGGUCCAGCCAUACCGCGUGGGUGAAGAAGUGCUUCGGGUUGUAAAUCCCUUUUGUUGGGAAAGAAAAGCAGCAGGUUAAUACCCCGCUGUUCUGACGGUACCCAAAGAAUAAGCACCGGCUAACUUCGUG